GCAUUGUUGGUUCAGUGGUAGAAUUCUCGCCUGCCACGCGGGAGACCCGGAUCCCAUUCCCGGCCAAUGCA
rnacentral:tRNA from 1 species